CUAUGCAUCCAUGUAUUCCUUCUUCCUACAGUUACAUGUUGUGGAGAAAAGGAAUAAAUGCAGCAUCAGGAUUUUGCCGUUGUUGUUCGCUGCUGUCAAAUAGGCCCUGACGUAUAGUGCCUCGCGCACAAGGAAGGAAACAUCGUCCCAGCGUUGCCUGGUGCUGCAUCAUCUCUGUGAUUGCUUGUGGCUCAGACUGUUAGGCUCCAGAGAGUUUUCACUGGCUGAUUUUUAAUGUAGAUCACCAGGCCUUUCUUCAUAGUCAACCUCGAUCUGCAAGCUUCGCUGAAACCUGUUCAGCAUCACGGCAACACACAAGCCUCCAAUGACAGCAGGGUGGUGGCUGCAGAUGACAUGCCUUGGCCAGGAAUUGAGCCCGGGUCUCCCACAUGGAAAGCAAGAAUUCUACCACUAAACCACCACUGCUCCUCAGAGUAGCAAGAUUCUUGUUUGCAUUUUCGGAAAUGGUUUGAGACCCAUCUGACUAUGAUGAUGGUGAUGCGGAGGAAGAGGAGGAGAAGGAAAAGGAGGAGAUCCCAAAGAAGGAGCAAAAAAUUGCAGAAGUCGGAUUUCCAAUGAUAUCUCAAGGAGAAGGUGAAAAUGUAAAAUUUAUGGUGGAACUAAAGGUGAGAGAUGGUUUUCAACACACCCCAGCUCAGAGGCUGAAGCUCCAAGUCGAGUCUGAGGAAACUCCUGGAAAGAAUAGGCCCCGAUUGAAAUGUGGCAGCCACCAAUAUUGCAUGUCACAGGCAAAUGUUUCUUUAAGACGGAGUGAUGAGGAGCAAAACAAGAAGGCUGUCUUGGAGUGGAUUGCUACAUUAAUCAAGAGAGCUGGGAUUCUCGUCCUUUCUGUAUGCGUGCUGGAAUGAGUGAGGGUGAAAACCAAUACAUCACAGCCUCUCCAAGGUGCAGGCAUCUUGCCUGGAAAAUGAAAAGCAAGGGAAAGGAAUUGCAUCCACUGGUAUGCCUUGUUACCCGUCUUGAUCCAGUAGAAUUAAUGAGCACUUUCGAGAGGUCUGGCAGCCAAGUGAGUUGUCAGCUUGCUGGUAUCAUUCUGGUGGUCUGGGAAUUUGAGAUAACAGGAAAAGAAAGGGAGGACUGGAGCAUAACAGGCUAAGAGAGAACAGACCAUAUCAGAAGCCCAUUGGAGCCGAGCGCUUACAUGUCAUAAAAAAAAAAGAAAUGACCUGGCUAGCAACAAAGAUUGAUGAUAAGAAAGAAAAGGGAAGGAUCUUUUGGAAGAGCUUUUGCCUUGAUCAGGGAGUAAUUUAUUUACUGUUUAACAUGGCAGGAGAGGCAAAAUGAGAUUCCUUGGAUGGAGAGGGAGGUUUCAGAUUUGGCAAUUAGUUGGGGACUUAAAAUAGACUUUUCUGAACCUAUAGACCAAACGAGCAUGGCAGUUUUGCAGUAUGUGUAUAAGAAGGGAUUAGCCUAUAUCAGGUGUGGCUGGCGCUGCACAUGGAUUUGGCGAUAGAAUUGGGAUGGUUUGAAACCAAUCCAAACAAAAUACACUGCUAAAAACAUAAGAAGGUAGGUUUCUAUCAAAAUAAUAACUUCCAUUUAUUGAGAUUUGACUAUGAACCCAGCACUGUGCCUAUAUUAUCUGAUUUAAUCCUUACAAAGGGCAUGUUGUUAGGAGGGAUCAGUCCCUGGAGAAGGACCUCAUGCCUGGCAAAGUAGAGGGUCAGUGGAAAAGAGGAAGACCCUCAAUGAGGUGGAUC